rnacentral:rRNA from 1 species
CCCUUAGAUGUUCUGGGCUGCACGCGCGCUACACUGAUGCACUCAACGAGUUUACGACCUUGCCUGAUAGGGUUGGGUAAUCUUUUUAAAAUGCAUCGUGAUGGGGAUAGAUUAUUGCAAUUAUUAAUCUUCAACGAGGAAUUCCUAGUAAGCGCGAGUCAUCAGCUCGUGCUGAUUACGUCCCUGCCCUUUGUACACACCGCCCGUCGCUCCUACCGAUUGAGUGCUCAGGUGAAUAAUUCGGACUGCAGCAAUGUUUGGAUCCCGAACGUUGCAGCGGAAAGUUUAGUGAACCUUAUCACUUAGAGGAAGGAGAAGUCGUAACA